CGAGACUGGGGACUGGUGUUAACAAUCACCUGCUCAGAUGAGAAAGAAACGGCCGUGGGAUUAUGCAUCUUGAAGUGGGAGAGGUUCGCCAGCGCUCGCCUUUAACCCCGGUAGCCUUAGAGCUUCCACCUCGUCUUCUGUCAUCGGCGCCGCCGGGUACAGUUCUACCCAGCGUGUCGUGGGAGGGGGAGCGGUCUGAGAGGGACUUAAGGCAGUCUGCAUCUGCUGGACGGCAGCAGCAGGUUCAGGCUGCACCCUUUCUGUGAGACGGUUUUCGCCCCUUGGUCCUGGGCUGUUUCUUUGGCUCCUAAAAGAUGCUUUGGCGUGUGGAAAAUAGAGGGAGAUCAGCGACGAGGUCUGGAACCCCAAAACUUAAGUAUAUUGCCAAUAGGGACUGUCCAGGCUGCUCUGAGCUGCAGGGUGGGAUUCUUUGUAGAAAGUAAGGUUGGCCCUGGAAGGAGAUGGGGGCGUCCAUACUACACCUAACCCCACCCUUCCUUACCCCCACUUCUGCCAGUAUUCCUGUUCUUCAGCCCGCAUCCUGCAGUUGGUGACCUCUUCCCAGUCUCAUUUUUCUUUCUAGAAUGGCUUUGGUUUUGUUGUCCCUUUCCACAGUCCUCAGGGACUCACUGUUAGCCGCUAAGUGAAGUCUGCGCUGUCGGAACUUGCCGCUCAGCACCCAUGGUAAAGAGGCCUCAAUUGCUGGCACAUUUAUCAUAUUACCAUUUCUGCUUUAAAAAAAGCAUUCCCCGCACUAGACCUAUGUUCUUCCGAAGAUGUCCUUGUAACUACCCUACCUGGGUUACUCAUCUUUUCAUCUCCUACACUAGAAAUGCCUCCUGCUUCCUCUUGUUCGGUCAGCUCCCAUAACCCUUUGCACCUCAUGUCAGGCGUCCUGCCGGUCCUGCUUUCCCUUUAACCUGCAAUGUGGGAGUGUGUUUGACGCAGGAAAGGGAAGCUGAAUGAUUUACAAAGUUUCCCUCUGCUUUGAGAUGUCCAACUUGCUAGUUUACAGCCCAAAGGCCUGAGCUGCUCUGCACUCCCUUGCCAGACUCGAUUCCCCACCCCGCCAUCACCCAUUUGUCUGUGGACAGACACUCUGAUCUCAUUGGGUCUCUCCAGCCUCCACGUCCUGUUGGGCUGUUCAUUCUGCUUACAAAUCCUGUGACCUUUCGGCCUACUCUCCAGGACCAUGCCUUAUAUUUCUGCCUGUCCUGCCAUGAUGCCAGAUGCUCCUAGGCCCCUCUUUCCCAGCGUGGUUGUUUCAUCAAUGUGUGUGUGAUAAAAGGCGGGUGUCUUUUUCCCUCACUGGACUGAGCCUCAUGAGGACAGGACUCUCCUCUGUCUCUAGUACAGAGACAGGGACACAGUAGGAGUUUGGAAAUACUUGUUGAAUGAAUGAAAAGGACAUCUUGAACUUGAGAACAACAGAAAUACUUGUUUCUCUUCUGCACUCUGUACCUGCAUUGCAUCUAUAUUAAUUCCUUUUCAGGUGGCUAGGACCAAAUACCUGAAGAAACAGUUUAGCAGCUAAGCUUAUUCAGGUUUACACUCUCAAGUUCCAUCCCUCAUAGUGGAGAAGGCAUGGCAAAGUUCAUGGCAGUGGUCUGACUGUAGCUGUUCACAUGGUGGCAGGUCAGAAAGCAGAGGGAGUAUGACCUGCUUCGGGCACCUAGCCCCAUCUCCUAAAGGCUCCUCAAGGCCCUCUUGGGAAUAAACAAUCCAAACAGGGACCUGUUAGGGACAUUUCAGAUCCAAACCAACACAGCAUCUGGUGCAAUUUAUUUAUUCACUCAGCAAAUCCUGUUCAUCCAUUUGGUGUACCAGAUAAUGGUAUAGGCUAAGGAAUUCGGUGGUAAGCUCACAAGCAAACCCUCUAAUUGCAAUGUUUUCAGUGAGAAAUGUCCCCAUAAACUCAGAUAUGUGAAUACUUGGUCCCCCGUUGGCAGCGCUCUUUAUGGAGGUAUGCAGCCUUUCUGGAGGAAGUACAUCAUUGUAGAAGGGCUUUGAGAUUUCAUAGCCUCACCUCGCUCCCAGUUCACUCCCAGCUUCCUGCCCUGGCCCCCUGCUACCAUGCCUCCCUCACUGUUAUGAAAUGUCCCUUUGUAAGCUGGAAGUAAUCUUGCUCCUCCAUAAAUCGUUUUUGGUCAUGGUGUUUUAGCACAGCAACAGAAAAGUAACUAAUACAGUAGUAAAUGCCUAAGGAAAGGGGCUAGAAAAUGAUGCUUCAGAGGCAAAGGUCUUGUGGAGGGAGCACUUUACAGAUAGACUCUGUGAGGACUUGGAACCAACACCUUGCCUGGGAUAGACUCCGUUUUAUGUUCAUUUGUUUGUUGAUGUAUAUGUUGACGUAUAUGAUACAGUAAGAGGUUGUAUGAUCUAGGUACAGGAAAAAAAUGGACACUAUGUCAGGGAGGUUUUUCUUAUUUGCUGGUAGUGGGAAUUGAGUCCAGGCCACUGUACAUGCUAGGCAAGGGCUUUACUACUGACCUGCAUAUCUAGUGCCUCCAGGAGCUUGGGGAGGUCUUUAUAAAGAAGUGAUAUUUGAGUAGAGUCAGAAGGAAGAGAUAAAACAAAUUAUUCCCCUUCAGUUAUAUGAAAGCCUAAGGCCGCCCUAUAGGACAGGGAAAAGCCUACAGAAGAAGCAGGGCCUCCAGAGACAGGAGGAACUUGGCAAGUUUGGAAGCUAGAAAGAAAGCCAACACAGACGUAGCCAAGUAGUUUUCCUUAUGGAGUUUUUAAGGCUCUAAAUUGUGAUCUGAGACCAAGAUUGGAGCCACAGGGUUUAGGGAACCAACCGAAGGGAUGGAUGGUAGCCGGCGAGGUGACUUAAUGUGUAAAGGUGCUUACAAUAUGUUCUUCAUACAGGAGAUACCAUUAGCUUGGGGGGGGGGCUGCCUUUUUUAUUUAUGUAUGUGUUUAUCUACUUCUGAGAUAGAUUGUCACGAUGCAGCCCCAGCUGCCUUGGAACUCACUACAUAGACCAGGCUGACCCCAAACUCAUAGAAAUUCACCUACCUCUGCCUCCUGAAUGCUGGGAUUAAAGGCAUACCCACCAGGCCCAGCUAAUGUGCAUUUUUUUACUUAAUCACUUUGAAAUUCAUUCAUGUAGUUAUUCUUUUCUCAUUGCUCAGUAGUGUUCCACUUUAUGGUUAUACCACAAUAUGCUUACCCAUUUAUUUGCUGAGAAACAUUUGAGAGCAUUUCUGCUUGUAGCUCUGACAGGUUAAGCUGCUUUGAGAAGUUAUGUACAAUAGAAUAUGCUUUCACUUCUUUAGGAAUAGAAUGGCUAGGUCAAAUGCAAGGGGUGUGUUUAACUUAAAAAGAAAAUGCCAGACUAUCUUCCAAAGCAGUUCUGUCAGUUUCAAUCUCCACCAACAGUGAAUGAGAGUUCCGGCUCCUCCAUUUCCUCACCAUCACUUGAUAUGGUCAGUCAUAUAACAAGCCAUUCUAAUCCGUGUGUGUUGGGUAUCUUGUAGUUUUCAUUGUAUAUGUCUAAUGUCUAACAGUGUUAAGUCUGUUUAUGAGCUUAUGUCCCAUGUCUCUUUUUCAGGAAAGAAAAAUUUGAAUAUUGUGCAGAUUUUUAUUGGGUGGCCCUCUUACUAUUGUAUUUUGAGCGUUCUUUAUUGUGGAGGUAGGCCUUUAUCAUAUGCUUGAUUUCGAAUUAUUUUCUCCCAGUCUCUGGCUUGGCUUCCAUUCUCUUUUGGAAAGCAGAUGUUUUACUUUUUGAUUGCGAACUUAGCAGCUUGUUCUUCAUGACAUGUUAUUUCUUUUUCUGUUCUGUGAUUGAAUACCGUGACGAAACUGAGAGAAGAAAGGGUUUAUUUUUGGCUCACAGUUCCAAAGGAGACAGUCCUCAUGGUGGGGAAGGCGUGGCUACAGGAGUGUGACGUCAGCUGGCCACCAGGGAAAAGAGAGCAGCAAGAGGGGCCCAGCUGUAAAGCCUCAAAGUCCACCCUGCCCUGCCCUGCUCCACCCUGUCCCAACCAGCUGGGAACGAAGUGUCCAAACACACAGACCUAUGGGGAACAUUUCACAGCCAAACCACAGCACAUGGGUUGUCCUUCUGAUGUCAUAUCCAAGAAAUCUUUGCCAAACUGAAAGUCAUAAAGGUCUCCAGAGGUUUUGUGAUUUGGGGUUUUAUGUUGAGGUCUAUGAUCAAUUUUGAGGGCUUUUUGUUUGUUUGUUUGUUUGUUUGUUUGGUGUGGUUCAAGUAUUUUUUUUUUUUUUUUUUUUUUGGUUUUUCGAGACAGGGUUUCUCUGUGUAGCUUUGCGCCUUUCCUGGAUCUCGCUCUGUAGACCAGGCUGGCCUCGAACUCACAGAGAUCCACCUGCCUCUGCCUCCUGAGUGCUGGGUUUAAAGGCGUGCGCCACCACCGCCUGGCCGUGGUUCAAGUAUUAAUUGGGGUCUUUGCUUUUGUUUUGCUAAUGGACCUUAAUUAUUGCAGCACUAUAUGCUGGAGAGAGAGAAUCCUGGACAUAGUAUCUGGGAAUAUACUGCAUUUUGCCUGACAAAAAUACAUUUUAGUAUUGUAAACACACCAACUUUUAUUUGUUUAACUUGGGACAUUUAAGUGAAAUUUAAUCAACAAGAUAUCUGUUGUAUGUAAAUAUUUAGCCUUUGCUAAGCCCUAAUAAUUUAUAUGUUCUCCCUCUUCCCCUAACUAGAAGAGACACUUUAGUAAUGCUC